CCGCCCUUAGCUCAUCUGGAUAGAGCGGCUCCCUCCUAAGGAGCAGGUAGUAGGUUCGAGUCCUACAGGGCGGGCCA
rnacentral:tRNA from 1 species